rnacentral:rRNA from 1 species
AGAGUUUGAUCAUGGCUCAGAACGUACGCUGGCGGCACGCCUAACACAUGCAAGUCGAACGAAGUAGCAAUACUUAGUGGCGAACGGGUGAGUAUAAUGUGGGUAUCUGCCUUUUGGUUUGGAAUAACACGGGGAAACUUGUGCUAAUACCGGAUAAGCCUUUACAGGGAAAGUUUUAACGCCAAAAGAUGAGCCUGCACUUGAUUAGCUAGUUGGUAAGGUAAUGGCUUACCAAGGCUACGAUCAAUAGCUGAUCUGAGAGGAUGAUCAGCCACAUUGGGACUGAGACACGGCCCAAACUCCUACGGGAGGCAGCAGUGGGGAAUCUUGCACAAUGGAGGAAACUCUGAUGCAGCGAUGCCGCGUGAGUGAAGAAGGCCCUUGGGUUGUAAAGCUCUUUCGUCGGGGAAGAAAAUGACUGUACCCGAAUAAGAAGGUCCGGCUAACUUCGUGCCAGCAGCCGCGGUAAUACGAAGGGACCUAGCGUAGUUCGGAAUUACUGGGCUUAAAGAGUUCGUAGGUGGUUGAAAAAGUUGGUGGUGAAAUCCCAGAGCUUAACUCUGGAACUGCCAUCAAAACUUUUCAGCUAGAGUAUGAUAGAGGAAAGCAGAAUUUCUAGUGUAGAGGUGAAAUUCGUAGAUAUUAGAAAGAAUACCAAUUGCGAAGGCAGCUUUCUGGAUCAUUACUGACACUGAGGAACGAAAGCAUGGGUAGCGAAGAGGAUUAGAUACCCUCGUAGUCCAUGCCGUAAACGAUGUGUGUUAGACGUUGGAAAUUUAUUUUCAGUGUCGCAGGGAAACCGAUAAACACACCGCCUGGGGAGUACGACCGCAAGGUUAAAACUCAAAUGAAUUGACGGGGACCCGCACAAGUAGUGGAGCAUGUGGUUUAAUUCGAAGAUACGCGCAGAACCUUACCAACACUUGACAUGUUCGUCGCGACUCUAGAGAUUAGAGUUUUCGGUUCGGCCGGACGAAACACAGUGCUGCAUGGCUGUCGUCAGCUCGUGUCGUG